UCCAGCUGCAGCUAGCAGCUAUUAUUAGCCAUCACCGUCCUAGGCCUGGCGUUAGAGCCCUCUCUAAUGAAAUCUCAACAGACUGCUCCAGCCACUCUCCUUGAGGAAUCCCUUGACACACGGGACAUGGAACAGCUGAAGGAUGGGGCUGGAGGUCAGGAGCUGGGCAGCUGAAGGACUGACCAGAGACAGGAGGGUCUCCAUUCCUGCCCAUCAGACUGUCUGUAUGGCUGGGGGAAUAUAUGCUGGCUGCUUUAGGGAAGUUCUCAGAGUUUCUGUCUUUAGCAUCUUCUCUCUGAGCCUGAGAAGGUAUAAGUAGCAAAAGGCUUCCCACCCUGAACUAGAUGGUACCUGGAUUCUGGCUCGCCCUGGGCUAAUCUUGGGCACCAGAGAAGGAGAGUGUGGAGAGAAGAAGGCAGGACUCAGAGGAAAGCGGCCCCUUCCCGAGGAACUACUGGCCACUGGAGCCCCAUUGCUGUCCUUGCCUCUUCCCACAACACUUUCAACUAUCCUAACCUGCUCUCCCACCCCACACUGUCCUCUCCUUAGAGAUCAGGAGGCAGCUCCUCAGGACAUCCCUGCUCCUCACAGAGGCCUGAAGCUCCCUCUCCAGUGUCCUCUGGUUGUUUCUGCAAGGUCAGGGGUGUCUCUGAGGCCACCUUUUUGGAGCGGGGACUCGUUGUUAGUUGUUAAUUGUUUACCACUAAUGGAUUCACUGAGCAGCUGUAGCUCUGCAGUCUUGUCUCCUGUGGACUUUUCAACGCCAGGCCACUGCCAAGGCCCUCACACGCUCUGUGGCAGUGACACACCCAGGAAGGGAAGUAAGACUCUGAGAGUUGAAGAUGACUUGCUGGGAAUCGCAGAGGCAGGAACUGACCUUGAGCUAGGUCACCAGUUGGGCUGGCCUGAUACCCCACUCCACAUAGAUGGAAGGUUAAGGGAAAACAGCGGCAGGGUGGCCUCAAGCAGAGCCACACAUAGAGCCCUCUGGGUGUGGGAUGCAUGACACUCAAACAUGCUGUUGUCAGGGCUCAGAAAAAAAUGACAUACCCAUAUAUGGCACCUUGGAGGUCAUUCUGACCUUCUAGGGCAUACUUCCUUCUGUUGCCUUCUCUCUGCUCCAGAAGGGGUCAGAAGCCAAUUUUCUGUUUUCCCAAUGCUAGUCACAAAGCUUGGAGAGGCUACUCUGCUCGACUCCCUUUUCCCUUAAAGACGGGUGCCUUAAAAACAGGUGUCUUGCUCCUUAAUCGGAAGGGGUGAGAAGAAAGGACGCCUCACACCUCACACGGGACACAGAAAGGCAGCACCACGGCCGAAUUUAUUACCCUGAUACCACACCCUUUCUCUCUAUUUGUAUUUCUCCACAGCUCUGCACACACACAAAAAAUAUACAAAUAAAAAUUAGCAUAGAAAUUCUGUCUUUCCUAGUCCUUGAGCCCUUCCUGAGAUUCCCAUGGCAUGUGGCAUGUAGUACUGGCUAAAGAAGGUCCGGCUUUACUCCUGCUAAUCCAGCUUUUGUCAGAGGGACUUGGGCUACAACCCUUGCGAGAGGUAAAGCAAUCAUAGGACGUUUUCUUUCUUCCCUAUUCUUUCUGGAGCUGCGUGACAAGGCUCCUGCCAGAUUUCCUGAAGAUUACGUUCUGUGGGGUGGGAUCCAAGCCCUUUCUAGGGCAGGCAGCUCACAUUUGCAGCGGGUCUGCCCCUGUUGUACUUCCUGCCUGCUAUGAACCGUCUGUAUUGGAGAGGUGACUCCAAGGGAACAAUAUCUAAGGCAUAGCAUGACUGAUGUGCAUACAAACUCACAGCACACGCAGGACUCGCUCAGGAUCAAGCUGGAUGUGCUCAGCUCUGAGAGAGAGACGUGGACAUUGGGUCCCAUCCCUAAUCAAGAAGCUGUCUGCAACUGAUGCCCCAAUUGGCAAGGACAAAAUCCGUUUUCUCCACUGAGUGUCACUGGCUAUAUCAACCGCACUCAGGGGCAGGCCCUGUGCCCAGAAGUAGUUGGCCAACACAAAAUGAACUCAGUGCUAUUUUUGUGGACCUUUGGCUUUGUUUGAUUUUUUUUUGUCUUUUUCUUC